CCUACGGGGGGCUGCAGUAGGGAAUCUUCCACAAUGGGCGCAAGCCUGAUGGAGCAACGCCGCGUGUGUGAUGAAGGCUUUCGGGUCGUAAAGCACUGUUGUAUGGGAAGAAAUGCUAAAAUAGGGAAUGAUUUUAGUUUGACGGUACCAUACCAGAAAGGGACGGCUAAAUACGUGCCAGCAGCCGCGGUAAUACGUAUGUCCCGAGCGUUAUCCGGAUUUAUUGGGCGUAAAGCGAGCGCAGACGGUUGAUUAAGUCU
rnacentral:rRNA from 1 species